GUUAUCUGAUCCCACCUCAUGCCCACAUACUGGGCAUGGAACCAAUCCAAUCGUUCAGGGUUCACCAGAUGU
rnacentral:sRNA from 1 species